CGUAGGGUGCGAGCGUUAAUCGGAAUCAUUGGGUUUAAAGGUCCGUAGGCGGGUUUAUAAGUCAGUGGUGAAAGCCCAUCGCUCAACGAUGGAACGGCCAUUGAUACUGUAGAUCUUGAAUUAUUAGGAAGUAACUAGAAUAUGUAGUGUAGCGGUGAAAUGCUUAGAGAUUACAUGGAAUACCAAUUGCGAAGGCAGGUUACUACUAAUGGAUUGACGCUGAUGGACGAAAGCGUGGGUAGCGAACAGGAUUAGAUACCCUGGUAGUCCACGCCGUAAACGAUGGAUACUAGCUGUUCGGAGCAAUCUGAGUGGCUAAGCGAAAGUGAUAAGUAUCCCACCUGGGGAGUACGUUCGCAAGAAUG
rnacentral:rRNA from 1 species